rnacentral:rRNA from 1 species
AUAUCAAUAAGCGGAGGAAAAGAAACUAACAAGGAUUCCCUUAGUAACUGCGAGUGAAGAGGGAAAAGCUCAAAUUUGAAAUCUGGCAGUCUAAGGCUGUCCGAGUUGUAAUCUAGAGAAGUGUUUUCCGUGCUGGACCGUGUAUAAGUCCUUUGGAACAAGGCGUCAUAGAGGGUGAGAAUCCCGUCUACGACACGGACUCCCAGUGCUCUGUGAUACACUCUCAACGAGUCGAGUUGUUUGGGAAUGCAGCUCAAAAUGGGUGGUAAAUUCCAUCUAAAGCUAAAUACAGGCGAAAGACCGAUAGCGAACAAGUACCGUGAGGGAAAGAUGAAAAGCACUUUGGAAAGAGAGUUAAACAGUACGUGAAAUUGUUGAAAGGGAAACGCUUGAAGUCAGUCGCGUCUUCAGAAACUCAGCCUGGCUUCUGCCUGGUGUACUUUUCUGUUGGACGGGCCAGCAUCAGUUUCGGCCGCCAGAAAAAGGUGGGAGGAAGGUGGCACCUUCUAGGUGUGUUAUAGCCUCUCAUCGUAUGUGGUGGCUGGGACUGAGGACCGCAGCACGCCUCUAAUGGCCGGGGUUCGCCCACGUAACGUGCUUAGGAUGCUGGCGUAAUGGCUUUAAACGACCCGUCUUGAAACACGGACCAAGGAGUCUAACAUGCCUGCGAGUAUUUGGGUGGUAAACCCAUAUGCGGAAUGAAAGUGAACAGUUGGGACUUCUGUCAUGGAAGGCACCGACGCCCGGACCAGACCUAUUGUGACGGAUCCGAGGUAGAGCAUGUAUGUUGGGACCCGAAAGAUGGUGAACUAUGCCUGAGUAGGGUGAAGCCAGAGGAAACUCUGGUGGAGGCUCGUAGCGAUUCUGACGUGCAAAUCGAUCGUCGAACUUGGGUAUAGGGGCGAAAGACUAAUCGAAC